CCCAGAGCCUCCCCGAGGGCGGGGAACCGAGAACCCCCGCCCUCCGCGCGCCUCCUGCGCCCCGGGGUGGGGCUGGCCGGGCUACUCGGGCCGCGCAGCUGGAACCUGGAAACUAGGAUUGGAAUCCUGAACUCCUAAAUCCAAACUACAGACUGGAAGUUACCAAAAAAUAUCACAGUAGUUCCUCGAUCAGGUGGAAAGAUGACAGAGCCCGACAUACCAGGACCUAGAAAGGAGGCGAAGGAGGGGGUCUAGAGGGAAGAGCACUGUGGUCAAAGGAUCAGGCGCAUAAAUGUGGAGGAAUGAGGAUGCCCGGCUUGCUGGAGGAUCAAGCGAAGAGUGCCUAUCUUCCUGGGAAAGUCACCUAGCAGGUUUGGCUUUAUCUGACCUUUAUUCAAGAUGGAGUCACUCUGGUUAGGACACUUCAGACAUAAUUCCCUCCUCCUUUUUACAAGGAGAACUUUAAUCCUAAGGGGUGCAGGGGGACGGAGAUCCAUCUUCAGUAACUUCUUCAAGCUGAACAGAAGCAAUGAUAUUCCUGCCUAACCAUUAGGAUCCCUUUGCCUAAAGUAGAGAGCUAGCCAGUCAGAAAGCAUCUGUAUAGUGAGAACCAAUCAUACAUAAUUCUAAGUCCCAGAAAAAGGUGAAAUCUAGAAAAUUAAUGUGUUAAAUUUAAAGAAGCAUUGAGUAAGCUUAACUUUUAUUCCUACAUAAAAAGUACAAUGCAGUAUAUUCCACAGCACAAAACAGAAUGAAUAGAAUUAUCCCAAGCAUGCUAAACAAAAAAAGUUUCCCGAGGACUAGGCAGUUGUUAGAACCAAGCUGAUAUGGGGUCAACUGACAGCGUGUCAAUGGCAGAGAUGUGGGUGUCUAAGUCUUUUGUGGCCUGAGUAAUAUUAUGUGAAUAGUCUGGAAUGUAUGCAUAACAUUCUGUUUUGAUUAUAGCAUAAGUUCUCCUUUUGAGCUGUUGUUAACAUGUCCAGAGCCAUAGUUUCACAAGGCUAUCUGUCUAAUUUGAGAUGUUUCUUCAGUCAAGAGGGUAAGGGAUAGCGUGUAUUAUUGAAAACUGCAGCUGUGUUUAGCUACGGCUUUGGCUUGAAGCUCAAUGUCAAUUGUGACUGCCUGUGGGGAGAAGAUAGUGUCAGGCCUCUGAGCUGAAGCUCAGCCAUUGUAACCCCUGUGACCUGCACAUAUAAGUCCAGAUGGCCUGCAGGAGCCAAGAAGUCUGGAGCAGCCAAAAAAAACAAAAAAGAAGUGAAACAAAAGAAGCUCCUGCCUUAACUGAUUGACCAGCCUUACUACGUUCCACCAUUAAGACUUGUUCCUGCCCUGCCCCAACUGAUCAAUCGACCUUGUGACAUUCUUCUUCUGGACAAUGAAUCUUAUGAUCUCCCCACCAUGGACCUUGUGACCCCCUCCUCUGCUGACAAUAGAUAACCACCUCUAACUGUAACAUUCUGCUGCCUAUCUCAGUCCUAUAAAGCUGCCCCUCUCCUAUCUCCCUUCGUUGACUCUCUUUUCGGACUCAGCCCACUUGCACCCAAGUGAAUAAACAGCCUUGUUCCUCGCA